GCCCAUAGAAGCGCCCACUCCGGCCCCCACAAAAGCAUCUACCCAGCGCCCAUAGAAGCGCCUACUCCGGCACCCAUAGAAGCUCCUCCUCCGCCUGUAAAAGCUUCUACUCCGGCUCCCAAAGGCGAAGCUACUCCAGCUUGAAUUUGCAUGAUUGAGUACGUGCUAGGUAGCUGCAACGCAAUCUCAUAAAUUUUGUUUUUCUUAUUUUAAGUACUCAAUAAGAAACUAAUGGGAAUUGAAAUAGGAGAAGGUGAUAUAGUCAGAUCUUUAUCUUGUGUUCUUAUUUUUCCUUGGUACAAUUCCUAGCUCCUUGUAUUUGUAUAUGUAUAACUAGUUUUUACUAUUCUCUAAUAAACUUUUGCAA
rnacentral:lncRNA from 1 species